UUCCAGCUCCAAUAGCGUAUAUUAAAGUUGUUGCGGUUAAAAAGCUCGUAGUCGAAUCUGUGUCCCGCGCCGCCGGUUCAUCGUUCGCGGUGUUAACUGGCGUGCCGCGGGACGUCCUGCCGGUGGGCUUAGCUCGCAAGAGCGGCCCAACUCAAUCCCGCCGCGGUGCUCUUCACUGAGUGUCGAGGUGGGCCGGCACGUUUACUUUGAACAAAUUAGAGUGCUUAAAGCAGGCUAAAACUUCGCCUGAAUACUGUGUGCAUGGAAUAAUGGAAUAGGACCUCGGUUCUAUUUUGUUGGUUUUCGGAACCCCGAGGUAAUGAUUAAUAGGAACGGAUGG
rnacentral:rRNA from 1 species